CAUUAUCUUGGGGUUGUCGGUCCUGGGCGCCACAAGCGCUUGGGUUAAUAGGGAAGCCGGUGGGAAUCCGGCACUGCCCCGCAGCGGUAUGUGGAAACGACCGCCGUCAUGAGCACUGGGAACGUGGGUCCGGCCUCAAGGUCCGCCUGCACGAGCCUGGGAAGCGACGGCCAGUAGGAGAGGCGCUUACGCCUCGCGUCCACGAGUCCGAAGACCUGCCGACAGCCGCGCGAAUGC
rnacentral:ncRNA from 2 species